rnacentral:rRNA from 1 species
GGGGGCCCGCAAGCGGUGGAGCAUGUGGUUCAAUUCGACGCAACGCGAAGAACCUUACCUGGGCUCGAACGGCUGGUCAACGCCGGUGGAAACAUCGGUACCCCGCAAGGGGGUCCAGUCGAGGUGCUGCAUGGCUGUCGUCAGCUCGUGUCGUGAGACGUUGGGUUAAGUCCCGCAACGAGCGCAACCCUCGUCCUGUGUUGCCAUCAUUCAGUUGGGAACUCGCAGGAGACCGCCAGCGAUAAGCUGGAGGAAGGUGGGGAUGACGUCAAGUCCUCAUGGCCUUUAUGUCCAGGGCUACACACGUGCUACAAUGGCCGGUACAAACCGCAGCAAACCCGCGAGGGGGAGCCAAUCGGAAAAAACCGGUCUCAGUUCGGAUUGCAGGCUGCAACUCGCCUGCAUGAAGCUGGAAUCGCUAGUAAUGGCAGAUCAGCACGCUGCCGUGAAUACGUUCCCGGGCCUUGUACACACC